GACGAACGCUGGCGGCGUGCUUAACACAUGCAAGUCGAACGGAAAGGCCCUGCUUUUGUGGGGUGCUCGAGUGGCGAACGGGUGAGUAACACGUGAGUAACCUGCCCUUGACUUUGGGAUAACUUCAGGAAACUGGGGCUAAUACCGGAUAGGAGCUCCUGCUGCAUGGUGGGGGUUGGAAAGUUUCGGCGGUUGGGGAUGGACUCGCGGCUUAUCAGCUUGUUGGUGGGGUAGUGGCUUACCAAGGCUUUGACGGGUAGCCGGCCUGAGAGGGUGACCGGCCACAUUGGGACUGAGAUACGGCCCAGACUCCUACGGGAGGCAGCAGUGGGGAAUACUGCACAAUGGGCGGAAGCCUGAUGCAGCAACGCCGCGUGCGGGAUGACGGCCUUCGGGUUGUAAACCGCUUUCGCCUGUGACGAAGCGUGAGUGACGGUAAUGGGUAAAGAAGCACCGGCUAACUACGUGCCAGCAGCCGCGGUGAUACGUAGGGUGCGAGCGUUGUCCGGAUUUAUUGGGCGUAAAGGGCUCGUAGGUGGUUGAUCGCGUCGGAAGUGUAAUCUUGGGGCUUAACCCUGAGCGUGCUUUCGAUACGGGUUGACUUGAGGAAGGUAGGGGAGAAUGGAAUUCCUGGUGGAGCGGUGGAAUGCGCAGAUAUCAGGAGGAACACCAGUGGCGAAGGCGGUUCUCUGGGCCUUUCCUGACGCUGAGGAGCGAAAGCGUGGGGAGCGAACAGGCUUAGAUACCCUGGUAGUCCACGCUGUAAACGGUGGGUACUAGGUGUGGGGUCCAUUCCACGGGUUCCGUGCCGUAGCUAACGCUUUAAGUACCCCGCCUGGGGAGUACGGCCGCAAGGCUAAAACUCAAAGGAAUUGACGGGGCCCCGCACAAGCGGCGGAGCAUGCGGAUUAAUUCGAUGCAACGCGUAGAACCUUACCUGGGUUUGACAUGGAUCGGGAGCGCUCAGAGAUGGGUGUGCCUCUUUUGGGGUCGGUUCACAGGUGGUGCAUGGCUGUCGUCAGCUCGUGUCGUGAGAUGUUGGGUUAAGUCCCGCAACGAGCGCAACCCUUGUUCACUGUUGCCAGCACGUUAUGGUGGGGACUCAGUGGAGACCGCCGGGGUCAACUCGGAGGAAGGUGGGGAUGGCGUCAAGUCAUCAUGCCCCUUAUGUCCAGGGCUUCACGCAUGCUACAAUGGCUGGUACAGAGAGUGGCGAGCCUGUGAGGGUGAGCGAAUCUCGGAAAGCCGGUCUCAGUUCGGAUUGGGGUCUGCAACUCGACCUCAUGAAGUCGGAGUCGCUAGUAAUCGCAGAUCAGCAACGCUGCGGUGAAUACGUUCCCGGG
rnacentral:rRNA from 1 species